rnacentral:rRNA from 1 species
UACGGAGGAUGCGAGCGUUAUCCGGAUUUAUUGGGCGUAAAGGGAACGCAGGCGGUCUUUUAAGUCUGAUGUGAAAGCCUUCGGCUUAACCGGAGUAGUGCAUUGGAAACUGGGAGACUUGAGUGCAGAAGAGGAGAGUGGAACUCCAUGUGUAGCGGUGAAAUGCGUAGAUAUAUGGAAGAACACCAGUGGCGAAAGCGGCUCUCUGGUCUGUAACUGACGCUGAGGUUCGAAAGCGUGGGGAGCAAACAGG